UACGAACUGUGCGAACGUUAUUCGGAAUCACUGGGCUUAAAGGGUGCGUAGGCGGCUUGCCAAGUCAGGUGUGAAAUCUUCCGGCUCAACCGGGAAACAGCGCUUGAAACUGGCAGGCUUGAGUGAGGUAAGGGUGUGCGGAACUUCCAGUGGAGCGGUGAAAUGUGUAGAUAUUGGAAGGAACGCCGGUGGCGAAAGCGGCACACUGGGCCUUGUCUGACGCUGAGGCACGAAAGCUAGGGGAGUGAACGGG
rnacentral:rRNA from 1 species